GCCACACCUCACAAACAUUAAAUUAAUUUAAAAUUCUCUCAAAAAAACAUAAAGAAAAAAUGAAAAUUUUCUCAAUCUGCAUGGUUAUUUUAUUUGCUCUUCUCUAUUCAUCUGGCAAUGAGAUAGUGAUGGUGGAUGCUAAAGAUUGUGUAAAAUCAAUUUACGAGGAAAACGAUUGCACUCCUAAUGAUUGUAAGGAUGAUUGUUUGGCAGAUUUUGGAGUAUAUGCUAAAGGGCAAUGCCUUUCUACCUCGGAAUGUCAAUGUACUUAUCCUUGUUAAUUCCUUGUAAUUUUCAAUAUUUAAGGUUUUAAACUUUUUUAGUACCUUAAAUUAAAUAAAAAGAUUUAUCCAUUGAUCA